UACGAAGGGGGCUAGCGUUGCUCGGAAUCACUGGGCGUAAAGCGCACGUAGGCGGAUUGCUAAGUCAGGGGUGAAAUCCUGGAGCUCAACUCCAGAACUGCCUUUGAUACUGGCGACCUUGAGUCCGGGAGAGGUGAGUGGAACUGCGAGUGUAGAGGUGAAAUUCGUAGAUAUUCGCAAGAACACCAGUGGCGAAGGCGGCUCACUGGCCCGGUACUGACGCUGAGGUGCGAAAGCGUGGGGAGCAAACAGGAUAAGAAACCCCG
rnacentral:rRNA from 1 species